CCAGCACACCGCGACGAGGAGGCCCACAUCGACGCGCGAGGGGAAGACGCCACCAGGCCAUGGACGAGCGCCUGAAGGAGGGAGGGCUCCACCCGCGCCUCCAUCGCUGCUCCCUCCUCCCCUCCCUUCCUCUCCGCGAUUUCGCGCCGCCAUGGGGCUUUCACCUGAUGAAACCGCCAGCAUAGAGGAGGCCACCAAUGAUGCUACUGCUGCUGAACGAUUUGUCGGAGGUAUACUGCAAUGAGUCUGAUCCAUUUUUAGGAACACUUGCCUUUAAGUACCUUCCAAUUGGGACUCUCUACGAGAAUCUUCACGGUUUCAGAUGGAUCUCUUCCAGGUCAUGAAUAAUAAUGUUACUUUUCGACAAGAUAGUAUAUAUGCAAUUAGUUUAUGAAAGGAGCUACCUUUGGUGUGCAUAUUAUAACCGACUCAACCAGCUCGCUGCCAUGAUACUCCAUGUCCAGGUACAAUAAUGUAUGCUCCAAAUAUGCACACUCACUUGCAGGGCUGAAACUGUAGACACAAAGAAUGGGUAGUCAAGUUCAUGUGUUUUGUCUACUGUUACCAUCUGGACCUAAAUAUACUCCACUAGGAUCUCUUGCUAAUGAGGUCUUACACAGGGGCAAUCUCUUAUUUAGAUUGAUAAUUGAGAAAGUCCAGGCUGCAAUAAAACCGUGAAAUCGAAAUGCUUUGCAAGUGGCUUCUGCAGCUCCUUAUAGCUACUUACAUGCAAUUCACAUUCUUCACCGAGAUGUUGGAGAAUACAAUUUUUGGUGUUUUUGGGCUUUGCCAAAGUAUCACGCCUUGGAGAUGAGGAGUGUGGUGCAUGGUGCAGCAGGUGUGGAUGCAGCGAUCAAGACCACAUGCUUGGCUUCUACAGAGAAGGGCACAACUAAUAUCUUGGCGGAUAGUUAUAUGUAUCAACAGGCUGCAGUAAGAUCAAAAACAAGCAGGAGGGACAUAGCGGAAUGAAUGGAACAAAGAAAGAGCCUGCUGGAGAUGCAAAAUUAAUUCUCCCUGGAGUGGAACAGUUUUAUAUAAUUAUAGCAUGAUUGUCCUCACGAAAAUAUGGAUUUCCAUAGUAUAAAGGUAGAUACUUAAAUGGUCAAGGAAUGUGUCAAUGGAGUGCUGCCGUCAUCCUGGUCGCAGUGGAGCACAUGCCGCCCGAGACGGAUCAUGUGGCACUACCAUCCUGAGCGCACUGCAUGUGGAAAUC